rnacentral:rRNA from 1 species
AACGAACGCUGGCGGCAUGCCUAACACAUGCAAGUCGAACGAGACCUUCGGGUCUAGUGGCGAACGGGUGCGUAACGCGUGGGAACCUGCCCUUAGGUUCGGAAUAACUCCCCGAAAGGGGUGCUAAUACCGGAUAAUGUCUUCGGACCAAAGAUUUAUCGCCGUUGGAUGGGCCCGCGUUGGAUUAGCUAGUUGGUAGGGUAAAAGCCUACCAAGGCGACGAUCCAUAGCUGGUCUGAGAGGAUGAUCAGCCACACUGGGACUGAGACACGGCCCAGACUCCUACGGGAGGCAGCAGUGGGGAAUAUUGGACAAUGGGCGAAAGCCUGAUCCAGCGAUGCCGCGUGAGUGAUGAAGGCCUUAGGGUUGUAAAGCUCUUUUACCCGGGAUGAUAAUGACAGUACCGGGAGAAUAAGCUCCGGCUAACUCCGUG